UGCAUAUGACCUUUCCUGUGUACCACUGGCCUCAAGUCUUUGGCUACCUUUUUUAGUCUGAGAUGGAGGAGUGGAUGGCCAACUCAGAGACAUGUCAAUCUGCAGUCUACUUGCUAAUAAUGUCAGAAGAUAAGCAAUGAAAACCUCAUUUGGAAAAAAAAAAGUUUUGGAAGUUCCACCAAGAUGCCCGAUGGAGUCACCUGACAGAACCAGCAAAUCAUGUCACAGCUCCCAUGGACAACAACGCCUUGAAGUCUGUAUAUCUCUCAGACAGCUAGUGGGAGAGAUGAACCAAAAGACGAAUACUUGCAACAU